rnacentral:rRNA from 1 species
UUGAAGAGUUUGAUCAUGGCUCAGAUUGAACGCUGGCGGCAGGCCUAACACAUGCAAGUCGAGCGGCAGCGACAACAUUGAAUCUUCGGAGGAUUUGUUGGGCGGCGAGCGGCGGACGGGUGAGUAAUGCCUAGGAAAUUGCCCUGAUGUGGGGGAUAACCAUUGGAAACGAUGGCUAAUACCGCAUGAUGCCUACGGGCCAAAGAGGGGGACCUUCGGGCCUCUCGCGUCAGGAUAUGCCUAGGUGGGAUUAGCUAGUUGGUGAGGUAAGGGCUCACCAAGGCGACGAUCCCUAGCUGGUCUGAAGAGGAUGAUCAGCCACACUGGAACUGAGACACGGUCCAGACUCCUACGGGAGGCAGCAGUGGGGAAUAUUGCACAAUGGGCGCAAGCCUGAUGCAGCCAUGCCGCGUGUGUGAAGAAGGCCUUCGGGUUGUAAAGCACUUUCAGUAGGGAGGAAGGUUCAUGCGUUAAUAGCGUAUGGAUUUGACGUUACCUACAGAAGAAGCACCGGCUAACUCCGUGCCAGCAGCCGCGGUAAUACGGAGGGUGCGAGCGUUAAUCGGAAUUACUGGGCGUAAAGCGCAUGCAGGUGGUUUGUUAAGUCAGAUGUGAAAGCCCGGGGCUCAACCUCGGAAUUGCAUUUGAAACUGGCAGACUAGAGUACUGUAGAGGGGGUAGAAUUUCAGGUGUAGCGGUGAAAUGCGUAGAGAUCUGAAGGAAUACCGGUGGCGAAGGCGGCCCCCUGGACAGAUACUGACACUCAGAUGCGAAAGCGUGGGGAGCAAACAGGAUUAGAUACCCUGGUAGUCCACGCCGUAAACGAUGUCUACUUGGAGGUUGUGGCCUUGAGCCGUGGCUUUCGGAGCUAACGCGUUAAGUAGACCGCCUGGGGAGUACGGUCGCAAGAUUAAAACUCAAAUGAAUUGACGGGGGCCCGCACAAGCGGUGGAGCAUGUGGUUUAAUUCGAUGCAACGCGAAGAACCUUACCUACUCUUGACAUCCAGAGAAGCCAGUAGAGAUACAGGUGUGCCUUCGGGAACUCUGAGACAGGUGCUGCAUGGCUGUCGUCAGCUCGUGUUGUGAAAUGUUGGGUUAAGUCCCGCAACGAGCGCAACCCUUAUCCUUGUUUGCCAGCGAGUAAUGUCGGGAACUCCAGGGAGACUGCCGGUGAUAAACCGGAGGAAGGUGGGGACGACGUCAAGUCAUCAUGGCCCUUACGAGUAGGGCUACACACGUGCUACAAUGGCGCAUACAGAGGGCAGCCAACUUGCGAAAGUGAGCGAAUCCCAAAAAGUGCGUCGUAGUCCGGAUUGAGUCUGCAACUCUCGACUCCAUGAAGUCGGAAUCGCUAGUAAUCGUGGAUCAGAAUGCCACGGUGAAUACGUUCCCGGGCCUUGUACACACCGCCCGUCACACCAUGGGAGUGGGCUGCAAAAGAAGUAGGUAGUUUAACCUUUCGGGGAGGACGCUUACCACUUUGUGGUUCAUGACUGGGGUGAAGUCGUAACAAGGUAGCGCUAGGGGAACCUGGCGCUGGAUCACCUCCUU